GACGAACGCUGGCGGCGUGCUUAACACAUGCAAGUCGAACGGAAAGGCCCUGCUUUUUUGGGGUGCUCGAGUUGCGAACGGGUGAGUAACACGUGAGUAACCUGCCCUUGACUUUGGGAUAACUUCAUGAAACUGGGUCUAAUACCGGAUAGGAGCUCCUGCUGCAUGGUGGGGCUUGGAAAGUUUCGGUGGUUGGGGAUGGACUCGCGGCUUAUCAGCUUGUUGGUGGGGUAGUGGCUUACCAUGGCUUUGACGGGUAGCCGGCCUGCGAGGGUGACAGGCCACAUUGGGACUGAGAUACGGCACAGACUACUACGGGAGGCAGGAGUGGAGAAUAUUGCACAAUGGGCGGAGGGCUAAUGCAGCAACGCCGCGCGCGGGAUGACGGAAAUCGGGUUGUAAUCCGCAUUCGCCUGUGACGAAGCGUGAGUGACGGUAAUGGGUAAAGAAGCACCGGCUAACUACGUG
rnacentral:rRNA from 1 species